rnacentral:rRNA from 1 species
UUAAGCGACUAAGCGUACACGGUGGAUGCCCUGGCAGUCAGAGGCGAUGAAGGACGUGCUAAUCUGCGAAAAGCGUCGGUAAGGUGAUAUGAACCGUUAUAGCCGGCGAUGUCCGAAUGGGGAAACCCAGUGCAAUUCGUUGCACUAUCGUUAACUGAAUACAUAGGUUAACGAGGCGAACCGGGGGAACUGAAACAUCUAAGUACCCCGAGGAAAAGAAAUCAACCGAGAUUCCCCCAGUAGCGGCGAGCGAACGGGGAGCAGCCCAGAGUCUGAAUCAGCUUGUGUGUUAGUGGAACGGUCUGGAAAGUCCGACGGUACAGGGUGAUAGUCCCGUACACCAAAAUGCACAGGCUGUGAACUCGAAGAGUAGGGCGGGACACGUGGUAUCCUGUCUGAAUAUGGGGGGACCAUCCUCCAAGGCUAAAUACUCCUGACUGACCGAUAGUGAACCAGUACCGUGAGGGAAAGGCGAAAAGAACCCCGGCGAGGGGAGUGAAAAAGAACCUGAAACCGUGUACGUACAAGCAGUGGGAGCACCUUCGGGUGUGACUGCGUACCUUUUGUAUAAUGGGUCAGCGACUUAUAUUCUGUAGCAAGGUUAACCGUAUAGGGGAGCCGCAGGGAAACCGAGUCUUAACUGGGCGUUAAGUUGCAGGGUAUAGACCCGAAACCCGGUGAUCUAGCCAUGGGCAGGUUGAAGGUUGGGUAACACUAACUGGAGGACCGAACCGACUAAUGUUGAAAAAUUAGCGGAUGACUUGUGGCUGGGGGUGAAAGGCCAAUCAAACCGGGAGAUAGCUGGUUCUCCCCGAAAGCUAUUUAGGUAGCGCCUCGUGAACUCAUCUUCGGGGGUAGAGCACUGUUUCGGCUAGGGGGUCAUCCCGACUUACCAACCCGAUGCAAACUACGAAUACCGAAGAAUGUUAUCACGGGAGACACACGGCGGGUGCUAACGUCCGUCGUGAAGAGGGAAACAACCCAGACCGCCAGCUAAGGUCCCAAAGUCAUGGUUAAGUGGGAAACGAUGUGGGAAGGCACAGACAGCCAGGAUGUUGGCUUAGAAGCAGCCAUCAUUUAAAGAAAGCGUAAUAGCUCACUGGUCGAGUCGGCCUGCGCGGAAGAUGUAACGGGGCUAAACCAUGCACCGAAGCUGCGGCAGCGACACUAUGUGUUGUUGGGUAGGGGAGCGUUCUGUAAGCCUGCGAAGGUGUGCUGUGAGGCAUGCUGGAGGUAUCAGAAGUGCGAAUGCUGACAUAAGUAACGAUAAAGCGGGUGAAAAGCCCGCUCGCCGGAAGACCAAGGGUUCCUGUCCAACGUUAAUCGGGGCAGGGUGAGUCGACCCCUAAGGCGAGGCCGAAAGGCGUAGUCGAUGGGAAACAGGUUAAUAUUCCUGUACUUGGUGUUACUGCGAAGGGGGGACGGAGAAGGCUAUGUUAGCCGGGCGACGGUUGUCCCGGUUUAAGCAUGUAGGCUGAUUGUCCAGGCAAAUCCGGAUAAUCAAGGCUGAGGUGUGAUGACGAGGCACUACGGUGCUGAAGUAACAAAUGCCCUGCUUCCAGGAAAAGCCUCUAAGCAUCAGGUAACAUCAAAUCGUACCCCAAACCGACACAGGUGGUCAGGUAGAGAAUACCAAGGCGCUUGAGAGAACUCGGGUGAAGGAACUAGGCAAAAUGGUGCCGUAACUUCGGGAGAAGGCACGCUGGUGUGUAGGUGAAGUCCCUGCGGAUGGAGCUGAGACCAGUCGAAGAUACCAGCUGGCUGCAACUGUUUAUUAAAAACACAGCACUGUGCAAACACGAAAGUGGACGUAUACGGUGUGACGCCUGCCCGGUGCCGGAAGGUUAAUUGAUGGGGUUAUCCGUAAGGAGAAGCUCUUGAUCGAAGCCCCGGUAAACGGCGGCCGUAACUAUAACGGUCCUAAGGUAGCGAAAUUCCUUGUCGGGUAAGUUCCGACCUGCACGAAUGGCGUAAUGAUGGCCAGGCUGUCUCCACCCGAGACUCAGUGAAAUUGAACUCGCUGUGAAGAUGCAGUGUACCCGCGGCAAGACGGAAAGACCCCGUGAACCUUUACUAUAGCUUGACACUGAACAUCGAGCCUUGAUGUGUAGGAUAGGUGGGAGGCUUUGAAGCGUGGACGCCAGUCUGCGUGGAGCCAACCUUGAAAUACCACCCUUUAAUGUUUGAUGUUCUAACGUUGGCCCCUUACCGGGGUUGCGGACAGUGUCUGGUGGGGUAGUUUGACUGGGGCGGUCUCCUCCCAAAGCGUAACGGAGGAGCACGAAGGUUAGCUAAUCCUGGUCGGACAUCAGGAGGUUAGUGCAAUGGCAUAAGCUAGCUUGACUGCGAGCGUGACGGCGCGAGCAGGUGCGAAAGCAGGUCAUAGUGAUCCGGUGGUUCUGAAUGGAAGGGCCAUCGCUCAACGGAUAAAAGGUACUCCGGGGAUAACAGGCUGAUACCGCCCAAGAGUUCAUAUCGACGGCGGUGUUUGGCACCUCGAUGUCGGCUCAUCACAUCCUGGGGCUGAAGUAGGUCCCAAGGGUAUGGCUGUUCGCCAUUUAAAGUGGUACGCGAGCUGGGUUUAGAACGUCGUGAGACAGUUCGGUCCCUAUCUGCCGUGGGCGCUGGAGAAUUGAGGGGGGCUGCUCCUAGUACGAGAGGACCGGAGUGGACGCAUCACUGGUGUUCGGGUUGUCAUGCCAAUGGCACUGCCCGGUAGCUAAAUGCGGAAGAGAUAAGUGCUGAAAGCAUCUAAGCACGAAACUUGCCCCGAGAUGAGUUCUCCCUGAGACUUUAAGUCUCCUGAAGGAACGUUAAAGACGAUGACGUUGAUAGGCCGGGUGUGUAAGCGCAGCGAUGCGUUGAGCUAACCGGUACUAAUGAACCGUGAGGCUUAACCUU